rnacentral:rRNA from 1 species
CUACGGGCGGCUGCAGUGGGGGAUAUUGCACAAUGGGGGAAACCCUGAUGCAGCAAUGCCGCGUGAGGGAAGAAGGUCUUCGGAUUGUAAACCUAAGUUGUCAGGGACGAAACAAAUGACGGUACCUGAAAAGAAAGCUCCGGCUAACUACGUGCCAGCAGCCGCGGUAAUACGUAGGGAGCGAGCGUUGUCCGGAUUUACUGGGUGUAAAGGGUGCGUAGGCGGGUUUGCAAGUCAGGCGUGAAAUACCGAGGCUUAACUUCGGAGCUGCGCUUGAAACUGUAGAUCUUGAGUGAAGUAGAGGCAAGCGGAAUUCCUAGUGUAGCGGUGAAAUGCGUAGAUAUUAGGAGGAACACCAGUGGCGAAGGCGGCUUGCUGGGCUUUAACUGACGCUGAGGCACGAAAGCAUGGGGAGCAAACAGGAUUAGAUACCCCCGUAGUC